rnacentral:misc_RNA from 1 species
AAGUCGUAACAAGGUUUCCGUAGGUGAACCUGCGGAAGGAUCAUUACUUGAACGGGGGAGCGACAGCUCCCUUGCUUACACCCUUGUCUAUGAGCACCCUUUUGUAGUUUCCUCGGCGGGCUCGCCCGCCGGCAGGGAACCCCUUUAACACUUCUGCAUCAGCAUCAUACUUCCGAUCUAAACAAAAAUAAUCACAACUUUCAACAAUGGAUCUCUUGGUUCUG